CGAAGGAUGCAAGCGUUAUCCGGAAUUAUUGGGUUUAAAGGGUGCGUAGGCGGACUGAUAAGUCAGUGGUGAAAGCCUGCAGCUUAACUGCAGAAUUGCCGUUGAUACUGUCAGUCUUGAGUACAGUUGAGGUAGGCGGAAUGUGUCAUGUAGCGGUGAAAUGCUUAGAUAUGACACAGAACACCGAUUGCGAAGGCAGCUUGCUAAGCUGUAACUGACGCUGAGGCACGAAAAGCGUGGGGAGCAAA
rnacentral:rRNA from 1 species